rnacentral:rRNA from 1 species
GACGAACGCUGGCGGCGUGCUUAACACAUGCAAGUCGAACGCUGAAGCUUGGUGCUUGCACUGGGUGGAUGAGUGGCGAACGGGUGAGUAAUACGUGAGUAACCUGCCCUUGACUCUGGGAUAAGCCUGGGAAACUGGGUCUAAUACUGGAUACGACAUGUCACCGCAUGGUGGUGUGUGGAAAGGGUUUUACUGGUUUUGGAUGGGCUCACGGCCUGUCAGCUUGUUGGUGGGGUAAUGGCUCACCAAGGCGACGACGGGUAGCCGGCCUGAGAGGGUAAACGGCCACACUGGGGCUGAGACACGGCCCAGACUCCUACGGGAGGCAGCAGUGGGGAAUAUUGCACAAUGGGCGGAAGCCUGAUGCAGCGACGCCGCGUGAGGGAUGACGGCCUUCGGGUUGUAAACCUCUUUCAGCACGGAAGAAGCGAAAGUGACGGUACGUGCAGAAGAAGCGCCGGCUAACUACGUGCCAGCCGCCGCGGUAA